AGCGGCGGACGGGUGAGUAACGCGUGGGUAACCUGCCUUACACUGGGGGAUAACAGUUAGAAAUGACUGCUAAUACCGCAUAAGCGCACAGGGCUGCAUGGCCUGGUGUGAAAAACUCCGGUGGUGUAAGAUGGACCCGCGUCUGAUUAGGUAGUUGGUGGGGUAACGGCCCACCAAGCCGACGAUCAGUAGCCGACCUGAGAGGGUGACCGGCCACAUUGGGACUGAGACACGGCCCAA
rnacentral:rRNA from 1 species